ACUUACCAGGUCCAGACAUAGUAAGGAUUGACGGAUUGAAAGCUCUUUCUUGAUUCUAUGGGUGGUGGUGCAUGGCCGUUCUUAGUUGGUGGAGUGAUUUGUCAGGUUUAUUCCGGUAACGAACGAGACCUCGGCCUUGUAAAUAGCUAUGCUGCUUACAGGGACAUUGGCGGCUACGCCAAGGAAGCUCGAGGCAAUUGCAGAUCUGGAAUGCCCUUAGAUGUCCUGGGUCGCACGCGUGCUACAAUGACGCCACGAACGAGCUUGCGUGAUGAAGGUUACGCAUAAUCAGCAGUCGGCGUCUUAAGGGAUAGUCUCUUGUAACUGUGGGACUCCAACUAGGAAUGUCUCGUAAGCACAAGUCAACAUCUUGUGUUGAUUACGUCCCUGCUCUUUGUACACACCGCCCGUCGCUCCUACCGAUCGAGUGUUUAGGUGAAUUUGAUGGACGUAAGGAAGUCAAAUAAACCUGAGCACUAGAGAAGAGAAGUCACCAAUGU
rnacentral:rRNA from 1 species